CGCCAGACUCCUACGGGAGGCAGCAGUGAGGAAUAUUGGUCAAUGGGCGGAAGCCUGAACCAGCCAAGUCGCGUGAGGGACUAAGGCCCUGCGGGUCGUAAACCUCUUUUGCCGGGGAGCAGUGGUCCGGACGCGUCCGGACCGGGAGAGUACCCGGAGAAAAAGCAUCGGCUAACUCCGUGCCAGCAGCCGCGGUAAUACGGAGGAUGCGAGCGUUAUCCGGAUUUAUUGGGUUUAAAGGGUGCGCAGGCGGAGGUGCAAGUCAGCGGUCAAAUUGCGGGGCUCAACCCCGUACUGCCGUUGAAACUGCAUCCCUUGAGUGCGCGAGAAGUAUGCGGAAUGCGUGGUGUAGCGGUGAAAUGCAUAGAUAUCACGCAGAACUCCGAUUGCGAAGGCAGCGUACCGGCGCCCAACUGACGCUGAAGCACGAAGGCGUGGGUAUCGAACAGGAUUAGAUACCCCCGUA
rnacentral:rRNA from 1 species